rnacentral:rRNA from 1 species
ACAACAAUGCUAGCCAAACUACCAAACCUAAACAAAACAAAUUACAUUUAGUCAAACUAAAACAUUCACCUCUACCCCAGUAUAGGCGAUAGAAAAGAAACAUUAACGCAAUAGACCAAGUACCGCAAGGGAAAGCUGAAAAAGAAAUUAAAAAAUCCACAAAAGUAAUAAAAAGCAGGGACUAACCCCCGUACCUUUUGCAUCAUGAUUUAACAAGUCUAACCAGGCAAAAAGACUUUUAGUCUGGCCUCCCGAAACUAGACGAGCUAUUUUCAAGCAGCCUAUUAGAGGGCACACCCGUCUCUGUAGCAAAAGAGUGGGAAGACUUUAAAAUAGUGGUGACAUGCCUACCAAGCCUAGUGAUAGCUGGUUGCUCAAUAAACGAGUCUAAGCUCCACUGUAAUUCUUACUAAUAUAGCACCACAUGAAAUUUAAAUCUAACAGUCACUCAUAAGAGGUACAGCUCUUAUGAGACAGGAUACAACCUAAGACAAUAGGUAAUGAUUAUAAUACACAAGGAAGCCACCCCAGUCGGCCUAACAGCAGCCAUCUACUUUAAACGCGUCACAGCAUAAACACAAACUCACCCAAUAAACCCUAAUCACCAAUCAGACCCUAUAAAACUAAAUGAGCCACACUAUAAAUUUAUAGUCCCAUUAAUGUUAAAACUAGUAAUAGGAAAACACGACUUUCUCUAGGCACCUGUAUAAAUCAGACCAGAUAAACUACUGAUAAUUACCGACAUAUUUAGCCAGACUAAUGAUAAACAAGAAUUCUGCCUAAUACACCCGUUAAUCCUACACCGGAAUGCCAACAGAAGACCAUAAGACAAAGAAGGAACUAGGCAAACCAGAGCCUCGCCUGUUUACCAAAAACAUCGCCUCUAGCCAAUUCACAAGUAUUAGAGGUACUGCCUGCCCAGUGACUCAUUCAACGGCCACGGUAUUUUGACCGUGCAAAGGUAGCAUAAUCACUUGUUUUUUAAAUAAAGACCUGUAUGAAAGGCAAGACGAAAGCUCAACUGUCUCCUCUGUCUAGUCUACGAAACUGAUCUCCCUGUAAAAAAGCAGGGAUAUAACCGCAAGACGAGAAGACCCUAUGGAGCUUAAGAUAAAAGGACAAUUUUAAUAUUAAAUUAUGUUCUAAUACCUUUAGUUGGGGCGACUACGGAGCACACAAACCCUCCGCGAACUAUGUACUAAGCAAAACAAACCAAUGUACUAAAACAUCUACUACAAUUGACCCAGUAUCCACUGAUCAACGGACCAAGUUACCCUAGGGAUAACAGCGCAAUCUUCUCUUAGAGUCCAUAUCACCGAGAAGGCUUACGACCUCGAUGUUGGAUCAGGAUACCCAGACAAUGCAACCGUUGUCAUUGGUUUGUUUGUUCAACAAUUAAAAUCCUACGUGAUCUGAGUUCAGACCGGAGCAAUCCAGGUCAGUUUCUACCUGCAUAUUAAUUUUUCCUAGUACGAAAGGACCGGAAAAAUAAGGCCAAUACAUCAUGCACGCCCUCAUAAAAAUUAUGAAUACAACUAAAUUUAUACUACAACACUAUACCCAAGACAAGGGCACAA